rnacentral:snoRNA from 1 species
AAGUCCAUGAUGAUGGACCUUCAUCAAUAAUAACUUGUAGCGCUCCCAUGACUCAUAUAAUGAUUCCCCGUCCUGCUGAAAAAAAGUUGUGAUGUCAUUCUGCAUCU